rnacentral:rRNA from 1 species
ACGGGAGGCAGCCGUGGGGAAUAUUGCACAAUGGGCGCAAGCCUGAUGCAGCGAUGCCGCGUGAGGGAAGAAGGUUUUCGGAUUGUAAACCUCUGUCAACAGGGACGAAAAUGACGGUACCUGUGAAGGAAGCUCCGGCUAACUACGUGCCAGCAGCCGCGGUAAUACGUAGGGAGCAAGCGUUAUCCGGAAUUACUGGGUGUAAAGGGAGUGUAGGCGGGACUGUAAGUCAGAUGUGAAAUAUGCCGGCUCAACUGGCAGACUGCAUUUGAAACUGCGGUUCUUGAGUGAAGUAGAGGUAAGCGGAAUUCCUAGUGUAGCGGUGAAAUGCGUAGAUAUUAGGAGGAACAUCAGUGGCGAAGGCGGCUUACUGAGCUUUAACUGACGCUGAGGCUCGAAAGCGUGGGGAGCAAACAGGAUUAGAUACCCUGGUA